rnacentral:rRNA from 1 species
CAGGUGGUACCUCGGAAGGACACCUUUCGGUAUUUGGGGUCAAUGCUGCAGGAGGAUGGGGGUAUUGAUGAAGAUGUGAACCAUCGGAUCAAAGCCGAAUGGAUGAAGUGGCGCCAAGCUUCUGGCAUUCUCUGUGACAAGAGAGUGCCACAAAAGCUAAAAGGCAAGUUCUACAGGACGACGGUUCGACCCGCAAUGUUGUAUGGCGCUGAGCGUUGGCCGACUAAAAGGCGACAUGUUCAACAGUUAGAUAUGGCGGAGAUGCGUAUGUUGAGAUGGAUGUGUGGCCACACGAGGAAGGAUCGAGUCCGGAAUGAUGAUAUACGAGAUAGAGUUGGGGUAGCACCAAUUGAAGAGAAGCUUGUCCAACAUCGUCUGAGAUGGUUUGGGCAUAUCCAGCGCAGGCCUCCAGAAGCUCCAGUGCAUAGCGGAUGGCUAAAGCGUGCGGAGAAUGUCAAGAGA